GGCCUCGUAGCUCAGAAGGAAGAGCACUGAUACCUCAAGUGGAUUUUCCCAUCUUGUAAGGUGGUGACACAAGUUCGAAUCUUGCCAUGGCCA